GAGGAUGCAGAAGCAAAAGGCUCCUGGAAGAAAGUGCUUAGUCCUAUGGCCACAAGAUGGAUCCCACUGCCACAACCCCGGGUGGAGAAAUAAAGAAAGUUGAACUCCAUCUGGAGUUCAUGGAUUUGUCAAGACUGACUGGCUAGCCAGAUGGAAGGAUCAACAUCCUCGUCUGCAUCCUUGCUGAGAUCACAGGUUCAUGCUGCCAGGCCCAGCUUCUGUGUGAACGUGGGGACCCUGAACUCAGGUCCCCAUACUUGCUUGGCAGGUACUUUACUCCUGGAGGCAGCCAUCUCUUCAGUCCCCUAUCUCUGCAUUUUAAACAGAAGUCAUUAAAAUUAAAUCACGCGACGAAGCCGCAUGGACCUGGUUACCAGAGGACAUGUGGCUAUAUCUUUUCAAUGCCAUUUCUAGUUCUCCGUGGCAGGACUUAUUUUUCUAGCUCCCAAAUGUGAGGUCUUUGUUAGAUCAUUUGUAUCUUUUAUCUCAGGUCAUUUGUUGGGGAAUCACUUGAGUCACUGCAUAGAGAACUUGAGAAGGGUGCCUAGAUAUGGCACUCAGCACUGUAUGACUUUGGAUAAAUCUCUUACUAUAUGGAAAACAUUUUCUACCAAAAAAAUUAAGCUGUGUAAUAAGGCCUACUUCACAAUGCUGUGCUGGGCCAAUGUGAAAUUGGAUAUAAAAACUGGGCACGAGUCAGGUUUAUUGCCAAGAUGGGGAAGGAAGUGGAUGCAGAGGGAACCCACAAACCUCACUCCUUCCUCUGGGUCAGCUCUGCUGCCUUUCUUUUGUUAAGAAUGGCCUGCUGACUGGAAAACACACCUAAGGGCCGGAGACCUCUGAGUCCUCUGUGAACUAGAAGAUCUCCUCUUGAUUCUGAUCAAGAACAAGGUACAGUUACCUGUCCUUAAUACCUAGAGUCAACCUGAUGCUCUAUUGUAACUGCAGAAUCGCCAAGAACUCAUCCAUGGCCCAGGUACACUGCUCAACCCCUUCCUGAAUUAUUGCUAUGCCCAGUGCUCAUGUCUCCCAUCAGUGCCUCCCGCUGACUAAACUUCAUCCAAACUAAACCAAAGCCCAGAUGCCCCUGGGGUGGGUUUGUGAGGGUCAACACCCAGAGGACGAAGACAGAGCUGUGUCCCUAAGGUGGAGGAGGGGUCAGCAGAACCCAACAAGUGUGCAAGUGAGGUUUCAAGUGUGAGAGGCGUGAGAGAAGAGAUACAUUUGUGUCUCCCCAAGCAGAAGCCAUGCCCCAUGCUCUACAGUAAGUAGAAUGCAGUUGCCAUGUGAAGACAAGGCACAAAGUGAAGACGCGCCUUGUGAUCCUUCUCACUAGAGAGAGUGGAGAUGGCCGUUCCUUUUCCUGCGGUCGGAUCAAGGAUGUCCACAGCAAAGCUGCAGCAAGAAGGGCCCAGGCUUUCCCCUUACUGACACACUGCUGUGUCUGCAGGUUGGUUGGUUGUUUCAGGGAGUGUCGAGCAGAGGUAGUGAGACCUCACUAGUCAUACCUAAGUCAUAUGCAACUCCAUUUCAUCUUAUCUGCAGUGCUGGGUGUGACACCCAGGUCCAUCCUAGUCAGCCUCUUUGCCAGUGAGCCACACCCUCAGCCCAUUGUGGAUAUUUCCCAAGGUUCUUGAUCACCUCGUCACUACCUUGAAAUUUUAGUGGUUAUUCACCCCACUGUUAGCUGGUGUUGACUGCAUUAAUGAGGAAACACUACCAAUUACUAUUACUCCAUGUGGUCUCCAGUUCUUUGGUGAUUUUACAUGGUGUGUACAAAGUAUUUAGAUCAUAUCCACCCUUCACUAUCCCUCUCUAACUUCUCUUGGAACCUUCUCCCUCAGAUUCCCCCAAUUCCAUAAUUUUCUUCUUACUUUUUUAACUUCUUCAAAUAACACAUGCUAGCUAGUGUCAUGUCAACUUGAAAUAGCUAGAGCCAUUUGAGAAGGGACCCUCAAUUGAGAAAAUGUUGAGAAACAUUGGCCUGAGGUGCAUUUUCUUGAUUGAUGACUAAUGUGGGAGGGUCCAGUUUACUGGUGGGGUCAACUCUGGGAUAGUGGUCCUGGAUGCUAUAAGAAAGCAAACUAAGCAAGCCAUGAGGAGCAAGCCAGUAAGCAGCACUCCUCCAUGGAUUCUCUAUCAGCUCCUACCUCCAGGUUCCUGCCAUGAGUUCCUGCAUGACUUCACCAAGUGGUGGAGUGUGACCUGAGAAUUGUAAGAUGUAAUAAGCCCUUUCCUCACCAAGUUUCUGUUGGUCAUGUUGUUUAAUUGCAAUAGCAGGAACACUACGACAUAAUCCACUGAGUCCAAUUACUGCUGCCUAUGGAUGUAGGGCCAUCCAACAGAGCAUGGACAACACCCCUAGAGAAAAAUGCAUCCCCUCUCUCCCAGAAUUUAUCUGACACUAGGCUCCUCACCUAGGUUUAGAAUCUCAUGAGUUGACUGGUUUGAUAUUGUACAGGCAAUCAUAGAUGUUGUGAGUUCGUGAGAACAACAGCCCUGGCACGUCCAGAAGACCUUAAUUUUGUAGCUGCUGUCUCCAAUUUCUGGCUUUUACAAUCACCUUCCUCCAGGAUGUUCUCUAAAAAGGUGUGUGUGUGUGCGUGUGUGUGUGGUGUAAGUUGUGGUAGUGGAGGUGGGGCUUCUGUUUAGGACUGAGCACUCCAUGUUCAUUUAUUUUCUGUACUUUGAGCAACUAGGAAUCUCCAGAGACAAGAACUAUGAGGAAGAGCAAAAGCUGAACUAAUCUCUGGGUAUAAAAUUAGGUAUUUCGAUGACAGUUUGUACUACCAUGUGCUUUGAAAAGACUUUGAAAAGUCUGUUCAGUUAUUGUAAUCUUGCUGAACCACAGACCCACCACCCUACUCUCAGAUCUAUGGAGUCAGAAUUUUGGCAUGGGGACCUGGGGAUCUGAAUGUGCUCCUAACUCCUUGAGUGAUCUGAGGGGUAGAAUAAAUCCCUGCUAUAGAAUGUCU
ensembl:sense_intronic